GAUGAACGCUGGCGGCGUGCCUAAUACAUGCAAGUCGAGCGAACAGACGAGGAGCUUGCUCCUCUGACGUUAGCGGCGGACGGGUGAGUAACACGUGGAUAACCUACCUAUAAGACUGGGAUAACUUCGGGAAACCGGAGAUAAUACCGGAUAAUAUAUUGAACCGCAUGGUUCAAUAGUGAAAGACGGUUUUGCUGUCACUUAUAGAUGGAUCCGCGCGGCAUUAGCUAGUUGGUACGGUAACGGCUUUCCAAGGCAACGAUGCGUAGCCGACCUGAGGGGGUGAUCGGCCACACUGGAGCUGAAACACGGUCCAGACUCCUACGGGAGGCAGCAGUAGGGAAUCUGCCGCAAUGGGCGAAAGCCUGACGGAGCAACGCCGCGUGAGUGAUGAAGGUCUUCGGAUCGUAAAACUCUGUUAUUAGGGAAGAACAAAUGUGUAAGUAACUAUGCACGGCUUGACGGUACCUAAUCAGAAAGCCACGGCUAACUACGUG
rnacentral:rRNA from 1 species